UGUGCAAAGACAGCAUAGCAUGCAGUUGUGUUGUCUCCUUGUAUCCCAGUAAUAAAUCCAUGUGACAUCUUACAUGGAUGGAUGAUAGAAAGUGGAAAUUGGGCAACAAAGAUCAAAGUGUAGAAAAGAAAAAAGACAAUGCUAGAAGUCAGAUUUGAACUAAAUAUGAAAGAAAUUCCAGAAGAAAUAGCUGACUGUGGGAAUGUUGAUAAUGCCACUGCUUCAGAGACUUCUCAGUAUAAAGCUAGAGGAACAGAAUGACAGCAAACUUAUCAACCUAAACAGGAAAGUGGUUGUUGUGAGAAGAAUGCAGGUGAUCCAUUGAAGUGACAUCUACAGAAAAGCUCCCAUUAGAAGAACUCUCAGAGGUAUUCCUCAAGAACAAAAACUCAGAAUAUAAAAUAUUGGACUUAGAAAGGAGGAUGAAAAUUCACUAAGGCAUAAAACAGUACUCUGUAUCUCUAAGUUAUAUGUCAAGAAGAAGGCACAUGCUGUUUAAAACACACUCUUGUCUUGUUCUACUUUUCACAGCCUUCCAGGGACCAACCUCUUUCCAUAUCAUCCAGAUCUCGACCUUUGCCAACAGCACCUGGGCACACACUCAAGCUUCAGGCUGGUUGGAUGAUUUGCAGAUUCAUGGCUGGAACAGUGACUCGGGCACUGCAAUACACCUGAAGCCCUGGUCCAAGGGCAACUUCAGUGACAAGCAGUUUGCUGAGCUGGAGGAGAUAUUCAGAGUCUACUUCUUUGCAUUUACUCAAACAAUACAGUGGCAUGCCAGUAAAUUCCAGCUGCAAUAUCCCUUUGAAAUCCAAGGCAUAGCAGGCUGUGAGCUACAUUCUGGUGCUUCCAUUGUAAGCUUCUUGAGGGGAGCUUUAGGAGGAUUGGAUUUCCUGAGCUUUGAGAAUGAUAUGUGUGUGCCCUGCCCAGAGGGCGGCAGAAGGGCACAGCAAUUCUGCAGAAGCAUCAUGAAAUAUCAAUAUGUCAUUAAUCCUGUGAAGAAGCUCCUCUAUGACAUCUGCCCCAGAUAUCUCCUGGGUGUCCUCAAUGCAGGGAAGGCAGAGUUGCAAAGGCAAGUGAAGCCCGAGGCCUGGCUGUCCAGUGGCCCCAGUCCCGGGCCUGGCCGUCUGCUGCUGAUGUGCCAUGUCUCAGGAUUCUACCCAAAGCCCGUGUGGGUGAGGUGGAUGCGGGGAGAGCAGGAGCAGCCGGGCACGCAGCACAGUGACCUCCUGCCCAAUGCUGACUGGACGUGGUAUCUCCGAGCGACCCUGGAUGUGGCGGCUGGGGAGGUGGCUGGCCUGUCCUGCCGGGUGAAGCACAGCAGUCUAGAAGGCCAGGACAUCAUCCUCCUCUGGGGUGAGAAAGGGCUGGGCCUGGCUGGACGUGGGAGGAGGUGGUCCUCAGGCAGAGAGGCAGGCACUGGGGAAGGAUGGGGCUUCACAGAUGAAAGAGGGAGAGGGGUAUAUUGAUUUAUUUCUGGGACACCAAUCACAACAGGAAUAAAAAUGGAGGAGCCAAGUUAUAGGGAAGAUAGGAAUGAAGGACAAGCAGAUUGUGUCAGUUGGGGUCCAAGGGAUCAAAGGAUGGAUCAAUGGUGUGAAGAAUAUGAGAGAGGGAGUUUGAGAUGAGCACACAGUGGAAGCAGCUGAAUGGAAGCGCUGACACUCAGGUGGGGAAAGGAUGGCCAGAUAAUUCAGUGGGUGGGAUUCGAAGUGACAUCCUUUUGUCAUCUCCCAAUUGCCAGGACACCCUAUCUCCAUUGGCUUGAUCUUUUUGGCAAUAAUUGUGCCCUCCUUGAUCCUCUUGCUGUUCCUUGCAUUAUGGUAUAUCAGGCGCCGGUCAUAUCAGGAUAUCCUUUGAACCCUAUCUGUAUCUUCUCUCCCGUUUGGAAAUAGCACCAAGAAGUUUAGAAUUCCAAGAUGACAACCCAUGAGUUAAUCUCAUCAUAUUGCAUCAAUUGAUCAUCAUAUUUUAUCAAAUCACAGGUUCCAUAGAUUUUAAGAUAAAUUAUAACUUAAGCACCAGCAAAAUAAUUAUUUAAAACUGUGAAUUUAUUAUAAGACGGUAUCAGUAGUAUGAUCUAUGUCUUAUAUAUUAAAAUGGACAAAGAACAUGUCUCAGGUAAAUGAAAUUUGGUAUAUACAAUGUAAUGGGGACUUCUCUUUGGUUUUCUAUUUUAAAACUUCUCUUUUUCUUCUUCUGCUUAAAUAUCAUUUGUCAAAGUAAGCUAAAUAUAAUUAUGCUGGGAUAAUUGUAUUGCAUAGAUACAGGGCAUUUUUUAUGUAAUUUCUCUGUCUCUACCUGGAUGACUUUCUAACACCCAAAGCCCAGCUGAGAAGCUUUCUCCUCUAGGAGGCCUUUCCGCGUGCUAUAAUGGAAGUAACCCUCCCUUGUCUGGUAUCACCCAGAUAUCCACUUUACUCUGCACCCCCUGCAUUGCAUUUAUUUUUGUUUUCUACCUUUUCUAAUUUUACCAUUAGAAAAGGUAAAGGGCAGUAGAAAAAGUAGAGGGUUCCUUGAGGGCAGUGCUCCUGGUUUGUGCAAGGCCCUUACCUGCAACUGCAUUUUCUCAGUAAAAAUUAUCUGAUUUGCUGACUGUCAACUUAAUUGCCUUCUUACAGAGUCAUCUCUAUCCCUGCUUUUUUUUUCUCUUUAGUUGAUAUUCUAGAUCUUCCUCUUGUUAUUAAAAUAUAUUCCACUUAGCCAAAAAAAUAUUAUGCUUUUCUUGUUUCUGCUCUGAACUCUUCUGGAGAAAACCACCUUUGUCCUUACUGCAAAUACAGUCUAACUUCAAAUUGUCAUUGGAACGGGCUCCUGCUUCUCAUUUGUCCAGUGAGAAUGAAUGAGAGGCAGGGUAGGUGAGGAGUAAUAUUUCAGGUGGAUUGUGACAUUGUGAAGGAAAAUAAUUUAAGGGGACUGUUUCUGUCCUCAAGGUCCUUGCUUAAUACCUGUGCUAUAUCAAUUGAGUUACAUUUUUUAUUUACCUUUACCUUUAUUCAUUUUUUGUUCAUUGUAUAGUUUCCUAGAACAGUCCAUCUUAAAACAUCCUAAUUCAUUUUGAUUAACAUAGUAAGGGGUAGGGGGAUUUAAGGAAAUAUUUUUAUAGGACUUAGGAAGGGAUCAGGGCAAACAGUUUUGGAGAAGCCAGAGGUGCAAGAAGCAAUUCUCCUACCUAUAAAUUUUAGGACAGUAGAGUCUUUAGAGUUUGAGAAGUGUAAGACAUGGUUGAAAUCACAGCUAUCUCCACCUUUUAUUACUACAACUGGCUACUUCAUGGAAUACAUUCAAUUGGACACCAUCUUAUAGAGUAGCCAUGCUAUUGCCGUAUGCUUGUGAACCAUGCAAUGUGGAACAUAGGAAGGUGAGCUAUGAACUAGCUGCAGCAAUAGCACCUGGAAGCUUGCUAGAAAAACUAAUCACCACUCCCCAACCUACUGAAUCAGAAAAUAUGGGAAUGGAAAUCAGUGAUAUGUUUUAACAAGGCUUCCAGGUGAUUCUGAUAUAUAUUCAAGUUUGAUAACCCUUGUUCUAAUGUUUUCUCAACCUCUGCCCUAUUGACAUUUCGGGUCAGGUAAUUCUUGCUGAGCAAGGCUGUUCUGUGCACUGUAGGAUGUUAAGCAGCAUCCCUGGCCCCUACCCACUAGAUGCCAAUAGUAUCUGCUCAAUUGUGACAUCAAAUAUAUCUUCAGACACUGGUAAAUGUUCCCCAGGAGCACAAAUUGGCCCCAGAUAAAAACCAAGAUCUAAUAUAAUUAUCAUAAUAUCAUGCCCCUGUUUAGCCAGAUUAACUGGCGUAAUUUGUCCUGAUGCAACUGAAUCUAAGACUUAAGUUUGCUGGUUGAGGAAGGAGGAGUUUCCUAUUUGUCUGGCUGGUAUGGUGUGUGCAAAGCCCAAAACUGCUAUAGAAUAUUAUUCCAUAGGAAAAGCUGGGCCAGAAAUGAAGCUCACAAAUAAGAAAACAGAUAAAAAGAGCAAAUGAUAAGAUAACAGGGCCAAAGCCUGAAUCAACUAUACCUGACACUUGAAACUACCUCUGAAUAUUUUAGUUACAUGAACUAAUAAGUUUCACUUUUCCUUUUAAGCCAAUUGAGCUUGAAUUUUCCGAUAUUACUUGAAAGUUACUUGAAAAUUAUGAUAUUGCUGUGAUCACUGAUGUCUUGCACCAGCUUUUUCAUGUUUUUUUUUAUACCUUUCCUCCAUUUUCUUUCUCCCCUUAUUGUUUCUCUUCCCAAAUUAUCAUUCCUCAACAGUGGUUUUUUUGAACUUAUGAUUUUCCUUUAAGUGUUCUUAUCUUAACUAUGACCUCUGCAUAAAUAACAUUCAGAAUUAUUAAUAGAUCUUCAACCUCAAAUAUAAGGGCUCCCAAACUAUUUUUGUGUAAGAAUGCAUGUGCAUGUUUACAAGUUCGUAUGAUUUUUGCCGAUACAUGAAAAUACAGUAGUUUGCCAUUUUCCAUGGUGGAUAUGUUCCAACACCCCCAAUGCAUGCCUGAAACCAUAGAUAGUAGGAAAUUCAAUUGCUGUCACUUGGAACAUGUUUCAGUUCAUGUCUUCCACCCACAAAUUUAAUGCCUUUCUGUCUUAUCUAAGCAGUGAUCAUAAGCUGUGACCAUAAUUUUUGCAGUUUGAGAUGCAACAGCAAAACAAGCAUGAAUUCUUUCCUUCUUCACAAUUUUGUGAAUAGGAGAUUCAUUCUUACUGAAGAUCUUAGCAACAUCGGCAUAGACAUUUUCUCUUUCCUUAUUGAGUAAAGAACUUUCAGCUUUUUAUAUAAACGAAAGACUUUACAGCUUCUCCUUGGCAUAUUCAAAUUACCAGCAUCACUUCUGCUUUGGUGCCACUAUUAGGCAAAAUAAGGGUUAUGUGAACACAAGCACUGCCUUACUAGAAUGGUUUGUCUGUUAACUGAGCUGCCUACCUUGAAAUCAUAGGUAACAAAUGACUUCUUUUCAAAUUUUUAAUUAGUAAUUUUAAAUAUGCAAAGAUAGAAAGGGUAGUAUUCGAAACCACCAUUUGCUUAUGAGACAGCUUUUAAAAAUUCAUCUGCUGAUGAUUGAAAUAAUUUUCAGAUAUCAUAUUCUACUCAUAAAUGUUUCAACAGGUAUUUCUAAAAUAUAAAAAUUAUUUUUAUAUACUAUCAAAAUUACAUUAUGAUAUCAAUAAAGACUCCUUAAUAUCACUAAAUAUCUAAUCAGUACUCAAAUUUUUCCCAACUGUCUCAUGAAAUAUUUUUAGAGUUCAUUUACUAAAUUAGAAUAAAAAUAAGGCCCAUGCAUUGAAAUUAGUCGGUAUGUUUCAUACGUCUCUUUUAAUCUACCGAUUUCUCCCCUAUUUUUUAUU